AAGAGCAAGAGAAAAAAUGAAAGAAAAAGAAAAAAAAAGAAAAAAAAGAAAAAAAACAAGAAAUAAAAAAAACAAAAAAAAAGGAAGGCGAGUCCAACAUCGUCUUCGGAGACAGAAACAGCUACUGACAGUGACACUUCUACCUCUAAGUCUGAGACUCAACAAGACUCAGAGGAUUCAGCAAGAAAACACCCCAUCAAAAAGGGGAAAAAAAUGGAAUCCAGAAAAAGAAAGCAGAGGCAAGAGGAGCCAGAUUCUGAUUCAGAAUCUGAAUCUGAACAAAGUGAUGAGAGCGAAGAAUCAUCACCUGCAGAGAAGGAGAAGGAGAAGAAAAAAACAAAAACAACACCAAAAAAAACACAACCAAAAAAGAAAAAAGUUCUCGUGGAGGAUUCACCUCCUAAAGAAGACCAAUACUUUGACGGUGAGACAUAUGAAAUAUCAAGUGACAAACUGGAUGAAUGGCUAGGGCAAAACGUUGAUAAAUUUGCUGCAGAGGGGUAUGUCUUGCUGGGCUGUCUAUUUCAUAUUUUGUUGUGUUUUGUAUGCUAAUAAUUGUUUCUUGUUUCGCAGCGAGAACCAACCUGACCUGCGAUCGACAGAAGGUCGCUAUGUGUCGUCUGAAACAAUACCGGCUGUGAACUUGGGAACUGAUGCUCCUUCCUCUCAAGGACACACAGAACAGAGUAGUGUAAACCAGCCGUCACAGAGCAUGUUGAGUCCGUCUGAUUCGAAUAUGAUGGUUGUGAGGGAACAGACACCGUCCG